UUAUUUCUUAAGAAUAUUUUACUUUUAAUGAAUGGUAAUUUUUUUAUUUUCCUACUAUUAUAUUAUGACUAAAUCCCACACUGGUUGGUCCGAGAUGAGAUACGAACCAUCACACUCAGAACGCUGCUGUCACUGGCCUCCACAUAGCCUUGGUUCUCUGCAGCAGAGCUCAUCAUGUUGCUGUCUAUCAACAUGAGGAGCAUCACAGGCUUUGUUUGACGUUUCCAUCUUUGAAUUGAGACCUUGACUGGCCAGUUGUGUCUCCUGACGUGUUUAACAGCUGCAUUGGAUAUGUCGAGAAAUUCCCAGACUGCUCUUCUGAGAGCAUACCAAAACACACUUAAGUUGGACAACAAAGGAAUCAAGCCACUGACCCCAUGCGGUGGGCCACCAUUGCUGCCGCCCACCCCAUCUCCACACCCCCAACCAGUGAGACACCAUGACCCCAUAAAUCCUGCCGGCGAGGCCACUUAGUCUCAUCUUCAUGUUAAUUUGCAUGAGUGUCCUAAUGUCUCCACAUUCCAGUUUCUAUUUUCUUUAGGUGCAAGGCUUUUCCUCUACCAAAUAUCAAAUAUGAAUAUCAGCGCUUUGAACUAGCCUUCCCUCAUCCCAUCUCAGCCUAUUAUAAAGCCCACAGAGACAGCUCCAGCAGAGAUGCGAUGAACAGAGUGAAGGAGAGUAGAGCCGCUUCGAAAGCAGCGACGGCAGACCACUCAGAAUCAACAAUUGCCUCAUAAGAGCACUACAUGGACCGACGUCUUGUUUUGAUGAACCCCGGAAUGCGGCGCCACAUCAUCAUUUCUCUGGCCUGCCUCAGGUGUCACAUCAGGCACUCGUGUGUGUUUUCUCUUGCGGCUUUGUCAAUAUUUCAGGCUCCUUCACAGUGACAAACUGUGACGUGCCAUAUGGUUUCUUGGCGGUGAUGGAGAUUUUGAAUCAAUGUGUGAAACUUUGGGCCACAAAAGUCUUUUUGUUGUGUCAGAUGAAGCGGAACCACUGUGAGUUGUUCAAUCUGUAGAAUUGACUUUUGUAGGAAACUGUGGGAAUAGAAAUAUAGCGAACCUAGAGAAGGCUAACUGUUAGCUUCUUUGGUAACUAUAGUUGUAAGUAAAGUAAAAUUCUCAAAUUUGUUCGUAUGCGUGUACUUAACGUUUCAAUUAAAUAGCCCUCGUGAUCCAUAAAGUUGCCUUUGGCAAUUUAGUUUUCUCGCUAGAAGCAUUAUAAUCCAAAUGAUCUUUUUACGACAUCAGACGACUGAAAUGAUGAGCCAUUCUUUUAUUUUCCCUCAUCUUGGUGAUGUCCAGUGGGCGGGUAGCCAGUUCAAUCUUUGUGCGCAGUCGGCCAAAACACAACCGAGUUGCGGGCACGCACUUUGGAAAGAGACAAGAAGAAUACAGCGACAACAGUGGGCGGCCUUGUCAGAAAGAUAAAAAAAAGUCUCGUGUUAAAUCCUCAAAAAAUAAUACGACUUGAGCAGUAUAUAUGACUGCACAGACUGAAAUGAGCUCUGGGAAAUUGUUAGACCGCAAUCAACAUCCACUAAAACGAAGAACCAAAAUAGCCACAGUCCAUCUCACGCUUCAGGUCAUGUGAAUAAUCCACAAGGGCUUUGCAGUGCAGGGGUCAUCGUUAGCUUUAAUGUCAUUUAACAAUGACUAGCUUCGAAUUGAUUUGCCUGACACUUGCAUCCUUUCAAAAAAAAAACCAUCUUUUCAAUCUGGCCAAAAGAAAUGCUCGCAUUACACAGCGGGAGAGCUCUUUUGAGUGCAUUUCCUUGCUGCCCAGCCUCGCCACAAUGCUGAAAUUGGAACGGCGUUUCCAUAGGGUAGAAAGCAAAGGCUGCAUCUGCUGUGUACAGACAGGUGCAAUCCUCCUCCUCCUCCUCCGAUCUUGAAUAGACACUUUAAUGACAACUUUGGCGAGCUUUCGCCCGUGGCUCUGUGGCUUGUCAGUGGUGACAGACAUUUUGGGAAAGGCUUCCUCUAAAGCGCCACGCUGCCAUUGUUAAGGUGACAGAGUUGUACACGGCCAAAUGUAUUCAAAUCUAAAAAUAACACUGCAUGAAAUGGGAUUUCACAGCUCCUUCUCUUCCAAUGUUUUUCUCUAAUACCUAUAGAGGAAAUUUUAAAUCAGGUGAUUUCUUUUUAAGGUAGGUGUGAAAGUCUGUCGCUGACGAUUUGGAUUUACGUCGAAAGAGAUCACAGUUAAAUACUAAGCAAAAGAGCCUCUAUGUGGCAUUUUGCCCUCCAACAAAUGUAUUUAUUAAAACAAGAUUAAAAUACAUUAACCAUAAGACUAUUAGUGGAAAAUUCUCAAUUUCAAACAUAAUAUCAAUCCAAUUUCCUGUUGGCUCACCUCGUUAACACACGUUCUAGAAAAUGUUGCAUAUGUUAUAAAACAUGCUUUCUGGAUAAUUUUAUUAGCGGCUUGACGCAACAUUAUCUAAAAAGUGAUAAAAAAAACUCAUGUCCAUCAAGUUGUACCUGGUCAAUAAAGUCACGUUAUGAGAUGUAUAUGUGGACCAUCAGAUUGUAUGUGGAUGCACAGCCUGAGGACAACACACAUACACACACAUACACAACCUCAUCAAGUUAAUGAGUCUGAUCGCCUUGAGCAACGAAGACCCAUAAAGCAAAAUAACAUCAUUUUUU